rnacentral:lncRNA from 1 species
AUGGGCCGGCUAAGUCCCGAUCAGCCUUCUGCAUCUCUCUCUCUGCUUCAGUCUCUUGUGACUGAGAUGGGCCGGCUGACUCUGGAUCAGGCUCCUGCUUCUCUCUCUUCGCUUCAGUCUCUUGUGACUGAGAUGGGCCGGCUGACUCUGGAUCAGCCUCCUGCUUCUCUCUCUUUGCUUCAGUCUCUUCUGACUGAGAUGGGCCGACUGACUCUGGAACAGCCUCCUGCAUCUCUCUCUCUGCUUCAGUCUUCUCUGACUGAGAUGGGCCGGCUGAUUCUGGAUCAGCCUCCUCCAUCUCUAUCUCUGCUUCAGUCUCCUCUGACUGAUAUGGGCCGGCUGACUCUGGAUCAGGCUCCUGCUUCUCUCUCUUCGCUUCAGUCUCUUGUGACUGAGAUGGGUCGGCUGACUCUGGAUCAGCCUCCUGCUUCUCUCUCUUUGCUUCAGUCUCUUCUGACUGAGAUGGGCCAACUGACUCUGGAACAGCCUCCUGCAUCUCUCUCUUUGCUUCAGUCUCUUCUGACUGAGAUGGGCCAACUGACUCUGGAACAGCCUCCUGCAUCUCUCUCUUUGCUUCAGUCUCUUCUGACUGAGAUGGGCCGACUGACUCUGGAACAGCCUCCUGCAUCUCUCUCUCUGCUUCAGUCUUCUCUGACUGAGAUGGGCCGGCUGAUUCUGGAUCAGCCUCCUCCAUCUCUAUCUCUGCUUCAGUCUCCUCUGACUGAUAUGGGCCGGCUGACUCUGGAUCAGGCUCCUGCUUCUCUCUCUUCGCUUCAGUCUCUUGUGACUGAGAUGGGUCGGCUGACUCUGGAUCAGCCUCCUGCUUCUCUCUCUUUGCUUCAGUCUCUUCUGACUGAGAUGGGCCAACUGACUCUGGAACAGCCUCCUGCAUCUCUCUCUCUGCUUCAGUCUUCUCUGACUGAGAUGGGCCGGCUGAUUCUGGAUCAGCCUCCUCCAUCUCUAUCUCUGCUUCAGUCUCCUCUGACUGAUAUGGGCCGGCUGAUUCUGGAUCAGCCUCCUGCAUCUCUGUCUCUGCUUCAGUCUCCUGCGACUGAGAUUUUACAUAUCACCUUUCACAAACUCAUUAAUUAG